AUAACGUGGAAUGAAGGAAAGAACAAGAAGAGAAAUAGAAAAAAUCAUGACUGUACCGUCACUGUGAAAUCAACCGUAGCCACAUCGGUUACAAUCCCUCCUCUUCCAAUUGCGUUUCCUUUACCUACUGGGCUUUUCGUUAGCAAGAUUGGAUCUACUAUUACAAAACGUGUAUUGAAGC
rnacentral:ribozyme from 12 species